AAGGGCUGAACCUCACAAUCAGGCUGUCCUUCAUCCCGUACAAGAUCGAGUGCUCACAAUCCGUGAAAAUGCAAGAUUACAAGGGUUCCCUGAUUGCUAUCAGCUGUAUGGUCCUAUAAAGGAGAGGUCAGUAUCGUGGUAUAGAUUCAUCAUAAAGUUUGUUGGACAUUAUUUAUACAUCGAGGAAUUGGCUGGUGGGUUGAUUCUGUGGAGCCAUCAUUCAUCCCUAGUGUCUUGAAAAUUGUUAACUUCUCUGCUCUUGGUGAUCUCUUAUUUUAUGCAAUCUGGUUAUGUGGUUUUCCAUUUUCAUUUUGCUUCAUACUUGAAAGACCAUCAAGAGUGCAUGAGACUCCCUGCUAUGCAAGGAUCAGGGGAGGGUAAUCUAUUGCACGUAGCUCUCUCCUCCCUUCUUUUUCCUAAGGCUAUUUCCAUGACUCAAAUCCCUGACCUUACCGUCAUGUACCCUCUUCUGGUUUCCACUUAUAUCCUGUAAAAUGUUUAAACAUAUGCUUCAUUUCUAAGGUAUUAGUCCUUGACAGAAGAAGCUGGAAAGGCAUGGGCAUACUGUAGAAGCAUUUCUUCCUUCAUCAAGUCACAUUUCGUUUGUGAUAUGUGUUUCUGGUUUGCUCUCUUCCAAUUGCAGGUACAUACAAGUUGGCAAUGCUGUAGCUGUUCCUGUUGCCAUCGCAUUGGGAUACAGUUUUGGAAUGGCGUGCCAAGGAUUUUCAGAUGACAAGCCUUUGACUACCUUACCUUUUAAGUUCCCCAAUUGCCUUGAGAGAUCAUCAUCAACACAUAUGGAAGAAGACGAUUCCGAUUGACUUGUAAGGAAAUUCAAACUUACAAUUUUAUAUAUCAUUCUUGCCAUUGUUGCCGCUGGCACAUUUCACUUUGUAAGAAAUCUCAAGUUAUUUGCGGCAAUUCGAGAAAUGCCAACCUAGGUGGCCUUUCUAAUUUUUAAGAGCGUCAGGAAAGCAAUGUCUUAAAAAUUAACUUUGUUUUUCUCCUAAUGUGACCUUUGACCUCAAUUCUGUGUCUCUGACAGUGUUGUUUCAUUAGAACUGGCUCAGUGGCCCAUUUUCACGCACAAAGCUUAAGGUCUUAAAUGGAUAAA
rnacentral:misc_RNA from 1 species